GGGUUUUGGAAGGAAGCCACUCUGUGAGUUUGAUCACAUCAUUAUCUGCUGGAGCAAAAGCACACAGGUGCAAGGCCUGAGGAUGGUGGAUCAAGGUAGACCAUCAGGUAAGAGGGAAGCUUGUGUCUUGUUCAGAUUUAACCACAAGCAAGGUUUAAGACUUGACCAAGACAGCUCUCAAAAGCAGCACUUGUGAGAUGAAAACACAUGAAUGAAGAUCUGUGUCAACAAGUAUCGGGCUGAGCUUGAAACCAUUAUUAGCUUCUUUCUAAUCUUAGGGAGUCUGAUAGCGAGCUUCAGACACAGCGUGAAUUGUGACCUCGAGUUCCGAUUUUAGAAGCCUUUGGGUGGGUUGGUGAAAUGAUCAAAAUGCUUCUGAGGGAGGUGGUGUUACCUCUGAGGCUGUCGAGAGGCAACGGUCCCAGGUCCGCACCCAGCUGCCAGAACCUACAGCACAACUUCAUUUGAAAAACAGAGUCUACUUCAGAAAGCAUUUUCAGACAAAUGUUAGAGACAAAGAGGCCUCAAGUUGGCAAGCCAGCGUCAUCUCUGGUGACAUGUUCAAACAGCUACUUACAUAAACCACACUAAUCAGGCUCCUCUUCAAGAUCAAAAGGUUCAGCACUGUGAUCUGACAUUGAACCUGGCAGUGACCAGAUAGAGCACAGACCCCACCAUGGGGACCCUUUCUAUCGACCUGGCCACCUCCAAACAUCUCAUCUCUCAGUACCAUGUUCUUGCAAAUAUUAAGGACAAAGACAUUCAGCAACAUAUGGAUCUGGAAGGUCCUGCUCCUGUGUGAUCCUGUCAGACUGUGAUUGCUCCAGUGUCUCCCAUUGCUGGCCAGUUGUCAAGACAAUGAGCAUGCCUCAGAGCCAAUUUCCUCUUCUGCAAACACGUGUGGGAAGAGAAAGUUUCUCCUUUGUAUUGUUUCAUCACACAUGUCUUCGGGAAGGGGAGGAUGCAGUGACUGUGGCAAGAAGCUCUGAUGGUGGCAGCCAUCGCAGCAGGCACUGGGUAGCAGAAGAGGAAGAAAACCAUGCUCAGAGCUAGACGAAUUUUUUAAAAGGGCCAGGGAGGACAUCUGACAACUAUGCUAGACUGUGGAAGAGCAGCCUGUGCCUUGAGGACUAAGCCACCCCCACGGGAAAGGUUGGAAGUCCAUGUAUUCUGGCUGUGGUGGCUUGUGCUUACUUGCUGUGGUGACAGGAAGCCGUACACAAUUCUUGGCUUCCCGCUGGGAAGUAUCUAGCGAAUACCCUGGGUACAAACCCCAGGCAGGCAGCCGUGCCGCAGAAAGCUGCCCUAAUGAGAUGUUUGCCCAAAUGUACUUCAGGAGAUAACGAAGGAGAGAGAAAUACUUCUUCAAAUAAGCAAAAUGGAGACUCAAUAUCACAGUAAGAACUAGGGCCCAAGAACAGCUGCAGGAGUAGGCUGUGGAGCCCUGAGGGCCUGGAGAGGGGAGCGUGAAUACCUCAGGAUGGGGAGAGACAGGGUCUGCUUUCUUCUUGCAGAACGUUUUUAAAAACACCUCAGAUUAUUUCAUAAAAUCAUAUUAUAAGGAUCUUAUCACACCGAGAA
rnacentral:lncRNA from 1 species